GGGGUGUAUGAAAGAAGAGAAGGUUAUUCUAUUUUGUCAAGAAUGGAAGAGACCCUUGAGCCUGACCACACGGAUAUUGUUAAGACAUCACCACCCACUUUAUAGCAUCUAACCAUUGCUUUUU
rnacentral:ncRNA from 1 species